GACGAACGCUGGCGGCGUGCUUAACACAUGCAAGUCGAACGGAAAGGCCCUGCUUUUGUGGGGUGCUCGCGUGGCGAACGGGUGAGUAACACGUGAGUAACCUGCCCUUGACUUUGGGAUAACUUCAGGAAACUGGGGCUAAUACCGGAUAGGAGCUCCUGCUGGAGGGUGGGGGUUGGAAAGUUUCGGUGGUUGGGGAUGGAUGCGCGGCUUAUCAGCUUGUUGGUGGGGGAGUGGCUUACCAAGGGUUUGACGGGUAGCCGGCAUGAGAGGGUGACCGGCCACAUUGGGCCUGAGAGACGGACCAGAGUCCAACGGGAGGCAGUAGUGGGGAAUAUGACACAAUGGGCGGAAGCCUGAUGCGACAACGCCGCGUGCGGGAUGACGGCCUUCGGGUUGUAAACCGCUUUCGCCUGUGACGAAGCGUGAGUGACGGUAAUGGGUGAAGAAGCACCGGCUAACUACGUG
rnacentral:rRNA from 1 species